rnacentral:rRNA from 1 species
AUGACGAGAGUGAAGAAUAGUUAUUAUAUACUUCCAAAAGAACCUAAACCCAAGCGCACGGUGUCAAACACUAAAAACAUUGGGAAGGUAAUGUUCCUCAUUGUUGUGGCCAGGCCACGAUAUAACAAUGAGGGGGACCUAACAUUCGAUGGGAAAAUCGGCAUUUCGGCAUUCAUCAAAGAAACUGAGGCGAUGCGGACAAGUCAGAACAGAGCAAAGGGAACAAAAGUGUUGACAUCAGUGAAACUAACCAGGCCUGUGUGCAGAGAUUAUCCCAUUGAUGACCCACAAGUGUAG